ensembl:lncRNA
CUGAAAGGGGCCCUCCCGGUCAGGCACUGGUAGACGGCGGUGCCGAUGCUCCACAGGUCCGCCUUGGCGCCGUAGUGCUGGGACAGGAUCACCCUCGGGGGCCUGCGGGCCGGGAGCCAGGUUGGGGCCGCGGCACAGAAGCCACCUGGAGCACAGCGACCCGGAGCAGGUGCCACCACCCGGGGUGGCCUCGGAAGGGGUCGGCCCGCACCAGGGCCGCACACGUGCAGGGCGUGGAGGCACCUACCAUGUACAUGGGGGAGCCGCACAGCGUGGCCCGCCAUCAUGUUGCUCUGCAGAUAGCGGGCGAACCCGAAGUCAGCUGUGGAGAGAGACGCGUCAGAAGCCAGGAGAGCACAGCACAGCUGGGUCCCUGCAGCAGGGGGCUCAGCGCCCAGGGCUCCCCGUCCAGGGGUCCCCGUCCAGGGGCUCAGCGCCCAGGGGUCACCGUCCAGGGGCUCAGCGCCCAGGGGUCACCGUCCAGGGGUCACCGUCCAGGGGUCGCCGUCCAGGGGCUCAGCGCCCAGGGGCUCAGCGCCCAGGGGUCACCGUCCAGGGGCUCAGCGCCCAGGGGCUCACCGUCCAGGGACUCACCGAUCUUGACGCGGAUGUUGUUGGGGUUCGCACGGCGUCCUCCGGGGGUUGGACAGCAGGAUGUUCUGCGGCUUCAGGUCACGGUGAAUGAUGCCCUUGCUGUGCAGCAGGCGCAUAGCACCAGCGAUCUGCUGCAGGAAGAGCCUGAUGGUGUCCUCGCUCAGGGUCCGCAUGGCUACAGGAAAGGCAGGCUCAGGGGCGCCUGUCACAGCCCGACAGGUGGUGUGGCAGCUCGGGGGAUGGCAGCCCCUCUUGGGGACCCGCUUCCUCUCCGGCAGCCCCGAAGGUUCAGUGGCAAGGGGGGAGGGGGGCACGACCCAGCACCCCCAGCAGAGGGAGGCAGCCUCAGAGCAGAGAAAGCCACCCAGGCUCCUUCCCGAGUCAGGUACGGGAAUGCUCACCGGGCCGGGGCCCUGCGGUGGGUGCUGGAAUGCAGGCCACAGGAGCAGCAAGCCCACCACAGCCCCCAGUCAUCAAGCACGGGUCGGAGGUGCUCUGCUGCCACAGCCCGAGGACCAGGACAGAUGGUGACACCCGCCUUCGGCUGUGCAGGCCAGAGUCUCCCCAACCCUGCCUGCCCCCACUUCCCGACACCCCACGGGUCCUGCAGCACUGCCUGCCACCCCAUUUGCCGUGUUCCUAUUUCCAGGUACAGGGUGCCCUCUCGGCCGCCACACAGCCACCCAAGUGCCUACCCUCACUACAACUCUGCUUCCUCACCCCUGACGCAGCCCACAGCCAUCCUGGAGCACGUGGGACCUGCACUAAGUCCUGGAGUGGGCAGGUGGCAGGCAGCAUCCACCGUGGCAGAGUCCCUCCCAUCUACCUCGGGGCACCAAGAGACAGGCCCCAUGCCCCGGCCAGCAAGAGCCACUUCAGCAACCCCUCCUGGCUAGCGCGCUGCCACUGAGGUGUCCACUCACUGUGUAGGUAGUCAGCUAGGUCACCACCAUUGCAGUACUGAAGAAGACAGGAUGCGCGUCAGGGCACAGGCACAGCCAGCCCCAGGCCCAGGCCCAGGCCCAGGCCCAGGCUCAGGCCCAGGCCCAGGCCCAGCCCCAGG